rnacentral:rRNA from 1 species
CACCGGCGGCUCGAGUGGUGGCCACUUUUAUUGGGUCUAAAGCGUCCGGAGCCGGCUUGGCAAGUCCCCUGGGAAAUCUGGCGGCUUAACCGUCAGGCGUCCAGAGGAUACUGCCAGGCUUGGGACCGGGAGAGGUGAGAGGUACUCUCGGGGUAGGGGUGAAAUCCUGUAAUCCUGAGGGGACCACCGGUGGCGAAGGCGUCUCACUAGAACGGGUCCGACGGUCAGGGACGAAAGCUGGGGGCACGAACCGG